CCUACGUGAGGCAGCAGUGGGGGAUAUUGGACAAUGGGGGGAACCCUGAUCCAGCGACGCCGCGUGAGUGAAGAAGUAUUUCGGUAUGUAAAGCUCUGUCAGCAGGGAAGAAAGAAAUGACGGUACCUGACCAAGAAGCCCCGGCUAACUACGUGCCAGCAGCCGCGGUAAUACGUAUGGGGCAGGCGUUAUCCGGAAUUACUGUGUGUAAAGGGCGCGUAGACGGUGAAGUAAGUCUGGAGUGAAAGGCCGGGGCCCAACCCCGGGACUGCUCUGGAAACUAUUGAACUUGAGUGCAGGAGAGGUAAGCGGAAUUCCUAGUGUCGCGGUGAAAUGCGUAGAUAUUAGGAGGAACCCCAGUGGCGAAGGCGGCUUACUGGACUGUAACUGACGUUGAGGCUCGAAAGCGUGGGGAGCAAACAGGAUUAGAUACCCGAGUAGUC
rnacentral:rRNA from 1 species